rnacentral:lncRNA from 1 species
AAAUCACUGCACAGUAUGCAAACCAUUAUAUUUUUUAAAUGCUUAAAUCCAGCCAAGGAGCCUAACACUUCCAUUAUUAAAGGAGAGCUUGCUAGACUGUGAAGCAGGAUGGACCCUGGACAGGAGAGCUGGCGAGCUGCGUUCAGACCGACUGAGUAAUUCCUCCACCAUCCCCAGCCUCACAGCCCCGCUGGGAACAAGCAUGCCAGGCCACCAGUGAUGCGGAAAGGGAUCCUGAGAGUUUCCAUUAAGGACUUGCUACAUCCAUGGAAUCCAACACCUCACCCAUGGGAAGACUCACCAUUAUUUUGGAACUACCAGGAAAGAAAAUGCUG